GGGGCUGCGGAUGUCGGGGCUGGACCCUCCUCGCCCGGUGCAGAACGCAAGGCACCCACAACCUCAACCUUUGGGGACCUUCCCCCAAAAUCCCCCCAAACGCUCCUCUCCUCGGGGAGGGGAGCAGUUACCUCCCAUGGGGUUGCUGAAGCUCGGACCCACGCCCCGGGGCUGGGGAGGAGGCGAAGAGCCAAGGUGCCCAGAGGGACAAGCCUGUCACCAAGCUUCCAGGGCUGGAUCCUCGGCGGGUGUAAGCUGGUGCAGCUCCACACCCCAGCCACCCGGACCUGCACCAGUGUGGGAGAGCAGAGCCCCAGGGAAAGCCGUGCUGGAAAAAUCGAGCCUUGCAUCGCCAGCCAGGCAUCGCAGCUCAGAUCUUCAUCAUCGGUAAUGCGAGUUUGGCCAGGAUGAAGGAAUGCUGUGACCUGAUGCUAAUAUUUUAGAUGGUGACUUUCAUCCCAGGAAAUCUCAAUGCACCGGAGUGCGGCCUCUCCUGAGGUGGGAGGGGGCAGCCAGCCAGACACAUGAAUUGCAUCCAGGCAAGGAAGGGAUCUUUUCACCAGCAUCACCCGCCCAAAGCUGUCUGCUCUCUAAAUAUGCCUUCAGAUUUUUAAUGUCCAUGCAAAAAAAAAAAAAAAAAGGGAGAGAGAGAGAGAGAGAGAAAAUAGAGAAAGAAAAUAGAGAGAGAAAAAAUAGAAAGAGCUUGAUGAAUAAGGUCCUUUAGGGAGCAAGAGGGAGUCACUUCUGCAGACACCUCCCUCAUCUCCACUGCAAGGAUGAAGAAGGCAUCUCAGAUGAUAUCCAGGUGAGGGAUAAAGCAGGGCCACGUGGACCUGGAAGAUCUCAUGGGGGAGCAGCACCAACUGGGAAAUCCACAGCUCUUGGCUGAGUCCCAAGGACAUGGUGAGCAGUACCUGGCCCCCUGGCUCUGAGAUCACACUGAUGCCUGUGCCCUCAUCCCCCAGCCAUGACCUGAGACAUUGGGCAGGUCCCCAGUCCAGCGUGCCCAGACCUACACAUGGGGCCACGGGAAGCCUGAAGGGAGCAGCAAAGCCCCAAGCAUGACCUAAAGGAGAGGACAGGGAGGCACCAGGAUUGUGCAGUGUCUCCACCCAUGGAGGGACUUUGGAGGAAGGUGGCCUGCACCUCAGAAGCAGUUUAGGACAAGAUGAUCCUGCUUUGGGGUGGAGGCCACCAAGCCAGCCUCUCCAGCUCCUUCUAGACCAG
rnacentral:lncRNA from 1 species